rnacentral:miRNA from 1 species
CAGAAGAGAGAGAGCACAGCC